AACGCGAAGAACCUUACCCAGGCUUGAACAGCGAGUGACAAACUACGAAAGUGGUCUUCCGCAAGGACACUCGUAGAGGUGCUGCAUGGCUGUCGUCAGCUCGUGUCGUGAGAUGUUGGGUUAAGUCCCGCAACGAGCGCAACCCUUGUUUGCUGUUGCCAUCAGGUUAUGCUGGGCACUCUGCAAAGACUGCCGGUGAUAAACCGGAGGAAGGUGGGGAUGACGUCAAGUCAGCAUGGCCUUUAUGUUUGGGGCUACACACGUGCUACAAUGGCCGAUACAAACCGUCGCGAGCCCGCAAGGGGGAGCUAAUCGGAGAAAGUCGGUCUCAGUUCGGAUUGUAGGCUGCAACUCGCCUGCAUGAAGUUGGAAUCGCUAGUAAUCGCGGAUCAGCACGCCGCGGUGAAUACGUUCCCGGGCCUUGUACACACCGACGCAC
rnacentral:rRNA from 1 species